rnacentral:rRNA from 1 species
GGGGUGGGUAAGGACGGUGCCAGCCGCCGCGGUAAUACCGGCGCCCCAAGUGGUAGUCGCUUUUAUUGGGCCUAAAACGUCCGUAGCCUGUUUGGUACAUUCGUGGGUAAAUCAACCAGCUCAACUGGUUGAAUUCUGCGAGCACGGCCAGACUUGGGACCGGGAGAGGUGUGGGGUACUCUCAGGGUAGGGGUAAAAUCCUGUCAUCCUGAGCGGACCACCUGUUGCGAAGGCGCCACACUAGAACGGAUCCGACGGUCAGGGACGAAGCCUAGGGGCACGAACCGGAUUAGAUACCCGGGUAGUCCUAGGUGUAAACGCUGUGGACUUGGUGUCGGGGACUCCACGAGUGUCCCCGGUGCCGGAGUGAAGAUGUUAAGUCCACUGCCUGGGGAGUACGGUCGCAAGGCUGAAACUUAAAGGAAUUGGCGGGGGAGCACCGCAACGAGAGGAGCGUGCGGUUUAAUUGGAUUCAACGCCGGAAAACUCACCAGAGCCGACGGACAUAUGAAGAUCAGCGUGAUGAGCUUAUUGGAUUGUUCGAGAGGUAGUGCAUGGCCGUCGUCAGUUCGUACCGUAAGGCGUUCUGUUAAGUCAGAUAACGAACGAGACCCCCAUCGUCAUUUGCUAAUCCGUUCUCCGGAACGGACGCACUAUGGCGAGACCGCUGGCGUGAAGUCAGAGGAAGGCGGGGGCAACGGUAGGUCAGUAUGCCCCGAAUCUCCCGGGCUACACGCGCGCUACAAAGGGCAGGACAAUGGGCUUCGACGCCGAAAGGCGAAGGCAAUCCCGAAACCUGCUCGUACUUCGGAUUGAGGGCUGCAAUUCGCCCUCAUGAAGCUGGAAUCCGUAGUAAUCGCGGGUCAACAUCCCGCGGUGAAUAUGCCCCUGCUCCUUGCACACACCGCCCGUCAAACCAUCUUAGUUGGGGGUGGGUGAGGCUACCUUUUAUUGGGGUAUUCGAGCCUGCCUUCGACAAGGAGGGUUAAGUCGUAACAAGGUAUCUGU